rnacentral:rRNA from 1 species
AUGACGGCCUUCGGGUUGUAAACCUCUUUCAGUAGGGAAGAAGCGUACGUGACGGUACCUGCAGAAGAAGCGCCGGCUAACUACGUGCCAGCAGCCGCGGUAAUACGUAGGGCGCAAGCGUUAUCCGGAAUUAUUGGGCGUAAAGAGCUCGUAGGCGGUUUGUCGCGUCUGCCGUGAAAGUCCGGGGCUCAACUCCGGAUCUGCGGUGGGUACGGGCAGACUACAGUGAUGUAGGGGAGACUGGAAUUCCUGGUGUAGCGGUGAAAUGCGCAGAUAUCAAGAGGAACACCGAUGGCGAAGGCAGGUCUCUGGGCAUUAACUGACGCUGAGGAGCGAAAGCAUGGGGAGCGAACAGGAUUAGAUGCCCUGGUAGUCCAUGCCGUAAACGUUGGGCACUACGUGUGGGGGACAUUCCACGUUUUCCGCGCCGUAGCUAACGCAUUAAGUGCCCCGCCUGGGGAGUACGGCCGCAAGGCUAAAACUCAGAGGAAUUGACGGA